AACGAACGCUGGCGGCAUGCCUAACACAUGCAAGUCGAACGAUCCCUUCGGGGAUAGUGGCGCACGGGUGCGUAACGCGUGGGAACCUGCCCUUAGGUUCGGAAUAACUCAGAGAAAUUUGAGCUAAUACCGGAUAAUGUCUUCGGACCAAAGAUUUAUCGCCUUUGGAUGGGCCCGCGUUGGAUUAGCUAGUUGGUGGGGUAAAGGCCUACCAAGGCGACGAUCCAUAGCUGGUCUGAGAGGAUGAUCAGCCACACUGGGACUGAGACACGGCCCAGACUCCUACGGGAGGCAGCAGUGGGGAGUAUUGGACAAUGGGCGAAAGCCUGAUCCAGCAAUGCCGCGUGAGUGAUGAAGGCCUUAGGGUUGUAAAGCUCUUUUACCCGGGAUGAUAAUGACAGUACCGGGAGAAUAAGCCCCGGCUAACUCCGUG
rnacentral:rRNA from 1 species